GUGUCAGCCGCCGCGGUAAUACGUAGGGACCGAGCGUUGUCCGGAAUCAUUGGGCGUAAAGAGCGUGUAGGCGGCCAAUUAAGUCCUGCGUGAAAUCUCGGGGCUCAACCCCGAGCGGUCGUGGGAAACUGGUUGGCUAGAGUGCGGGAGAGGAGAGUGGAAUUCCUGGUGUAGCGGUGAAAUGCGCAGAUAUCAGGAAGAACACCCGUGGCGAAGGCGGCUCUCUGGAACGCAACUGACGCUGAGACGCGAAAGCGUGGGGAGCAAACAGGAUUAGAUACCCCCGUAGUCC
rnacentral:rRNA from 1 species